CACAAAUUUUAAAAACUCCUGGGAAGCAGAUAACUUUUGCUUUUUUCCCCCAUAUAUUGCAUUAGCUGUAGUGAAGCAGGGUGUCAGCCAGGAUGGGGAUAGUAGAGCCUACUCUGCUGUAGGUGUUGCCCAUAUGAUGGAACUUGUUCUGUGGCAUUGAAUAUGUUAGCCCAUUGCAUUUUAAACUUUGGCUCUUAAUUAUUUCUUACCAGUUAAAAAUACAAGUGUAACUGAAGAAGUGGGCAAGUGAGUACCAGUUGCCUUUGGUGAUAUGAUAUCAGUUUAUGAGGAAAGAUCUUGAGAAAGUAUCUCAGGUCAACCUAUGGAAUACCUUAAAGGAGCAACUAGAGAAAAUUACACCUAAUUUCCUGUCUUAGUCAGAGUUCAGUUGCUGUGAAGAGACUCUGUGACUGUGGCAACUCUCCGAAAACAUUUAAUUGGGGUAGCUUACAGUUCAGAGAUUCAGUCCAUUAUCAUGGUGGGAAGCAUGGCAGCCUGCAGGCCGACUUGGUGCUGGAAGAGCUAGGCUUGAUUCAAAGGCCGAAGAAGGAGAAUUGGGUGGCCUGCACCCACAGUGAACACAUUUCCUCCACUAAGACCUCACCUACUCCAACAAGGUUACGCUUCCUAAUAGUCCCGCUCCGGCUGACCAGGCAUUUAAAUGAGCCUUAGGGGGCCAUUCUUAUUCAAACCAGCACAUUCCCCUGUAGGAUUCUGCUUACAUUAAGUGUGCCUUUAUCCUCAGGCCCCACUGUUCUAGUGGCGCAAGGGUAGAAACACUUGGGGAUGGAGUGUAGUCAUGUAGUUGCUUGGCUAACAGCCUAACAGCCUGCUUUGGAGAAAGCUCCCUGUGUUAAAACAUGGAACUAGAACCUCUUUAUUCUAGACAUCGAAAGUUAUUGUCUAGCACCUAAUCUUUUAGAAGCGUGUAGGAACUUCUUUUUUUCCUAGCUAAAAAAGAAAACUAACAAUAGAUAUGUUGCCUCCAUGCAUGUCUGUGUGCCACAUGUGUCCCAGGUCCCUCUAAAUUCCUUGGACCUGGAUCGACAGAGAGUUGUGGGCUCCCAGGUGGGUGCUGGGAACUGAAGUCCAGUUCUUAAUCGCUGAGCCAUCUCUCCAGGCCCUGAGACAGCUCACCUUUUCAUCAGAAAAGCAGGUGCAGUGAAGGUCUGUUAAAGGCUAUAUUCACAGGCUCCUGUGUUCCUCACAGAGCUGUUAGCCACCGAGGACCCUGCCAGUUCAAGGAACGAUUACUAGUAAGGUUGCCUGGGAAUGUGAAGAAUUUUCUAUUUCUCAUAGAAUCAUUUUAUCUAGCAAUAGAAAUUAAGGCAGUGGACAAAUUAACAGGAGUCAAGAUCUUCCUUUUCAUACACUUAACUGAGCACACGAAACUGAUUUAGUGUUGCUUCAUGUUGAAGACUGGGCUCUUGAUCUUCCCACUUAUCCCUCCCAUAGUCUUCAUUGACUCAAUAAACGAACCCUUUAUUUGAAAAGAAGCUGAAGUAGGGUUUGAAACAUACCUGUGGUUGGUCUGUUACUCACUAGGUAGCCCAGGCUGGCCUUCCAGCUCAAGGUAACCUUCCUGCCUUCCCUGAGUGCUGGCAUUUCAGGUGUGUGCCACUACUCCUGGUAAAUGGCACCAUUGUUAACCCAGUUGCUCAACCAAACUCUAGGAGGUAUCCGUGAUGUCUCUUUGCUCUCCACAUCCAGCUCUAACCCUUCUUUACCUCCAGAAACACUGGGUAGGUCUUUUCCUUAUCUGACUUGUGGGCGGUAACUUCUGAAUUCCUGACUCUGCUUUGAGCAUCCAGUAAUCCAUGUUUCUCUUUCUGUCUGCAGGACUGAUUGUUUUAUGCUGGUGUGUGUGUGUGUGUGUGUGUGUGUGUGUGUGUGUGUGUGUGUGUGUGUGAGAGAGAGAGAGAGAGACAGACAGACAGACAGACAGACAGACUUUCAGCUGUGCCAUCUAUCUUCCCCCAACCCCAGACUGGGAAAUUGUGAGGAGGGCUAGGAGUUGUAGCUCAGUGUUAGAGCAUGUUCUUACCAUAUGUAAGAGCCUAGAUUCAAUUUUCAGCAUUAAAAAAAAUUCGAAUCAGGUUACAGUUACCCUGGCUUAAGACAUAGAGGCUUCCAUUGCAGUUAAUACACAAUGGGAGCUCCUUCUCAACCCCUGUGCCUGUGCCUGCGUCUGAUCUCUUACCUACAGUUCCAAGGACCAGCAACACAGGCCGUUGUUCUGUACUGUCCCUUAGGCCGAAGAGUUUCCUGUCUUGUCAUUGUCUUGUCAUUUGAGUCUUGUUCACAUGUCAUCACCUUGGAGAAAUUUCCCUAGGUCCCUUCUGUUCUCUCCUCAACUUUUCAUAGCAUCCGUCUUAAUCUGUAGUUGCUUGGUCUGAGUAUUGUUUUUCUCUGAUUAGCACUGUGAGAACCAGGACUAUGUCAGCCUGUUUUCCUCCCUUGGUGUCUGAAACCGUAAGGCCUGGCACGUAGAACAAACAGGUUGUGAGCUUGUGAAUGAACUGACUAGUUAAGGAUGAAGCUCACUCACCACUUUAGCUGGAAGUAACGAGGGCAGCAAACUAGUAAGCUAGACCUGUUGACUGUACUCUUGGAGUAAUCACUCGGAAACUGCGUAGUACCCGUUAGCCAUUGUGUAUUCCCAUAUAACUAGAUCUAAUCAUCCCUGUAUUAUCCUAAUAACAGCAUGUUGUGUUCAUAGGUUAACAGUUCUCUUUCAUGGUUAAUUACCUGUCAAUUUGCAGACAUUUUAAAUUCUUAACCUGUUUUCUCUAA
rnacentral:lncRNA from 1 species